GUGGUGCAGAAUUGUUCACGCUUUUGGACCAGUUAAUUAGAUCGGGCUUAGAUUUUUCUUUUUUGCUGUAGGUUCCAUUCAAUUCAUGUUUUGAUGAUUGUUGGGAUAAGAGCAAUUUAACACCUAGCAUUCGGUGUUAUUAUGGAUUUAGCCAUGUUGCAUGGGUUCGGGUGUAGGUGUAGGUUAUGUGUCUACUUGUCCGAUCCUUCAUACCUAUGAAUCUUAGGAUAUGGGAACUUUGCUAAAAAGAGGUCUCUAUAAUGGAUAUGGACACUGGAUACAACAUAGAAAAAGAGGAAAAAAGAAAAUCGAUUUGAAAUCAGUUAAAAGCAUAUAUAUAUAUAUAUUCCUCAUGUCUGACUUUUUUUUUUUUCUUUGGUAAAAGUCCACUUCACAGAUAUUUUUUUUUUCUAAUUGGAAUUAUUUGUUAAAGAAGUUGAAACUAAAAAAAUAAAUAAAUCAAAGUAAAAACAAUCAUAUUUGAAGCAUGGUUCAAAGUAUCAUCCAAUACUGGUAUGUUUAAGCCAAGUCUUUGUCAUAGUUGUGACAAGUCCAACACCCAUGUUGGUAUCAUGUGGUUUAACAAUAACUUGGUUUCAAUUCAAAAUGAAUCACUUGACCGAUUGAGCUUAUUAGAGUUAUAACUCACAAAAUUCAAAUCAAUUCAUUUUCAAAAUAGUAAUUUUUACCAAUUACCUUUUAUCAUUUUUAUUUUUUAUUUUCAAGAUAUACUAUUAUAAAAAAUUGGUACUUGUGUAAAGUUGAAUAUAAUAGCGUUUUAAAAUUUGUUAAUUCUUAACAUUAUCAUAAAGUAAUUCUAACGCAAGCUUUUAUAAUAAUUUAGAUAAUGUUAAAUGCUAUAAAUGUUAAUUUAUUAAUUUGUUGAGUCUAUUUAAUUAUAAUUAUUUUUCUAAAAUUUUCAUUAGUUUUCUAGAGUUUUUUGAAUUGAUAUAUUGUGCAUAUCGCCCAAUACCAAUAUGAGAUACUAAGAUUGAUAUGCCUCGAGACUUGUCGAGUCAGCAAGUGAUACCACGACUUUGAACCAUGAUUUGAAGCAAAGUAGGAUUAUUAAACAAGAAUCUUAACACUUUAUCUCAACAUUUGGGGAAGGAUCUUAAUUCUUGAUCAACUCAGGAGGGGAUGGAGUUUUCCAAAUAAAUGUUACAUGUUAAAAAGGAAGAAUUGGUUGAAUGCUUGCUCCUUCACUGCUCCAUAGCAAGAAUCCUGUGGCCACUAAUUUUUUUUCCUGUUUGAAGUGGCAAGGGUGAUGCACUCCUCUAUAAGAGGAACUCUUUUGAGUUGACAUGGCUCUUUGGUGGGGAAGAAGCAGAAGAAACCUUAGAGUGUUGCUCCUAUGUUUGUUUUGGAACUUAUAGAAGAAAAGUAAUAGAAGGUCAUUUGAAGACGUAGAAUUGUGGGUUCAAGCAAUCAAAUCCCCUUUUUGUUUAAUCUUUUGGGUUUUAGAGUUUAUAUAGAUGAUCCUCCUAUUGCCAUGAUAGGCUUUGUAGAUUUGUUGAGUACUGAACAAGGAUAGAAGGGUUGUUUUUUGUUGUCUUUUCAUUUUAUGCUUCCCUAGUAGGCAUUAUCUGUAUGCAUUGUGUGUAAUAUGGUGUGCCCUUUUUCAUGCGCUUCUAAAAUCGACUUUUUUUUUUUUUUGCCUGUCCAUAAAAAAAAAAAAAAAAUUAUUAAACAAAUCCAACAUACAUACCCAUACCCACGCCCAAAGUCAUGUCAUGUUAACAUAGGUAUAGGUACAUUAGGUGAAGUGGGAGAGUCUAGUUGUCAUGGGGUAUAGAAAAAAGAUCAUAAUAUCAGCUUCUGACUAGUUGGAAUACACUCAGAGCUUCAUUUCUGAGUGAUGCUUCUAUUUUUCACUACAAAAUUCCAUUUCAUAUUGAAGUGCUUUCUUUAUUUGAAGCUUUUGGGGAUCUAGGUGCUAGAGAGCUGCUUUGCACUAUUUGUGGAAUAUAAUAAGCCAUGCUAGAAAAAGAAAGCAUGUAUAGAGGAUCAACUGUUGAAUUCUUCAAGAACUUAUAGAAGUUCUUCGCAUAUAUUGCCCUUCUUAAACUAUGUCUUGCAUUUUGCUUAGGUUUUCUUACUUGUUUGUAGGGACGCAUUUGUUGAUUAUUGGGUCAAUGGCAACAUGUUGACGAUGGAUAUAGCAACCCAAAUAUUUAAAAUUUUAAAGCAACCAGAUCUCAAAUACCUCACUCAGGUACUUUUUUUUCUUUAUAUAUAUAUUAUGUUCUGUCCAUUCCAUUUUUCUUUUAUUGCAACAAAAAAGAAUAAAGAAAAAAAUAAAUAUAUUGAUGAUGCAAUUACAGUUUAGUAUCUCUAUGUAUAUGAUUUUGAUUGACUCAAAUUUUGGUAAUUGGUCAAAUUGCUGUUAAAAUUGCAUUUGUUUAUAGUAAUGGCAUAUGGUCUGUUCUUACCUCAAUUACAUAAUUUUUAAAAUGGUUUCCAACUUCAUGACAGGUUGACUUCAAACCUGUACUUAGAGAACUUUUGGCAACUCAUCCAGGGUUGGAAUUCCUACAAAGUACUCCUGAGUUCCAGGAAAGAUACGGUUUGUUCUCAACUAGCUGGUUCCUUUUUUCCUUUUUUUUUUUUUCUGGUUAUCUUAGUUUGGUAGGCUUGUGAGCAUUUCUCCUUUGGAAAGGUCAUUUUAAAAUACAUCUAAAUGUAGACAGAUUCAGUAGAGUUCAUUUUGUUUUACUUUUUGUUGAAAAUCAGUAAUCUUGAGAAUACUUUUAUGGUUCAAACAUAACCACCACCAAUGGUGGCUGUAAAAUAUACAUUAUUUUUUAUCCAAUAGCUGUAAAUGGACUACUCGUACCUUGAAGGAUUUCUUGUCCUUCUCUUUCUUAUCCUUUUCUUUUCUUAUCCUCUUGUUUUUAAUAAAGUAGUCUUCCCUUGGGUCUUAUCCCCAAAACAAAAAGAUCUUGAAUUAUAUAGUAAUCUGCCUAUGCUCUAGUAGAUGGGUUCAACCUUAUUUAUUGGACCAGAUUUUUUUAAAAGAAAUAAUAACAUGGUUGUCUUUCAUUUUUCCUUUUGAUUGUGCAUUUCUUUAUGUAUUUAUUAUGUGGUAGAAUCCUUUGAUGGUUUAUUGGAUGUCUUUAUUAACUAGUUACAGGAGACUAUCAGCUAGCACAUGUUCUUAUGAACAUACAAUGGAUGAAUCGAAUUCAUUAUUCCUAGUGCUAUUAAGAUCUCUCUCUCUCUCUCUCUCUCUCUUCCUCUUCAUUUUCUCAUUGUCUUCUAUUUUUCUGAUGCAUUUUUAACUUCUAUUGCAAUGGGCCAGCUGAAACUGUAAUAUACCGAAUAUUUUACUACAUGAAUAGAUCUGGGAAUGGUCAACUUACCCUCAGAGAGCUAAAACGUGGGAACUUAAUUGCUGCAAUGCAACAUGCAGAUGACGAGGAGGACAUCAAUAAAGUGUUGAGGUAAACGACCAAUGAAAACUUGGAUUAGUUUGUCUUUGAAUAGAGAUUGCUGGUUGUCUAGUCAUGUAUCUUGGGCAGGUCUUAUUUUUUUUUUUUUUACAUUUUUAACAGCAAGUUUGUCAGUAUUGCUGUUAAGUGGUCAGAUCCUAUUAAUGAUAAAGUCCAUAUAUAAAUCUGAUUUGACUGGUUCAGAGUGAGAAAUCUCUCUCCAGUCAAUCAUUAAAUGCCAUUUUGAGUUCUUCAAUGUCUGAGUGACAUUGAUUACAUCACGAGAAAAAUUCUUUUUUUGUCCCCCUUUUGUUUGUUUGUGUUAUUUAUUUAUUUAUCCUAUUUUAACUUCUGGAGGUUUCUCAGAAAAUACAAUAGGAGAUAGUUGGUUUGUUACUUUUCAUAUUUGUGGGAAUACUCUCAUAACAUUUUUAGCAUGUACUGUGUGGUAUUAAAAUUUUAACACCAUUGCUUUUUUUUUUUUGAUUAUGCCCUUACCAUAGGUACUUCUCUUAUGAACACUUCUAUGUUAUAUACUGCAAGUUCUGGGAGCUGGAUACCGACCAUGAUUUUUUGAUUGAUAAAGAGAACCUAAUCAGAUAUGGUAACCAUGCACUUACCUAUCGAAUUGUUGAUAGAAUAUUUUCCCAGGUUUGUGUCUGUCAGAUAAUAAAUUCGUUUUUUAGAUCAAAUGAGCUGCUUUUUACGGAGGAGAAUUUCACAUUCGUGAAUGCUUCAUCUCUUAGUAUUUCUUCGUUUCUCUCAGAUUCCAAGAAAGUUUACGAGCAAGGUUGAAGGCAAGAUGGGAUAUGAAGAUUUUGUCUACUUCAUACUGUCGGAAGAGGAUAAAACAUCUGAGCCUAGUCUUGAGUAUUGGUAUUUCUGCAGCUCCUAUUUUGUUGAGCCAGUUUUAUUGUGACAAUUUCAUGCACUAAUAACUCCACUAAUGAAUGAAUAUCUUGUCUAUUUUUUUUGAAGUGCAUGAUUUUCAAAUUCCAUGCUUAAUUGGAAGUUAUAUUUUUUAAUUAGGCUUUCAGUUAUGAAAUGGGAAACAUGAAAUAUCAUAGAGAUUUCCAUUUUAUGACAAGUUUUCAAAUGGGUUUUUGUUAUACGAGUUCAUGUAAGAUAUCUUGCUCACAAAAAAUGUUGCACAGGUAUCAACAAAGGGGGAAUUCCCUUUCACAAUAUAUCAUGAUUGGGUAGGAUUGUUUUACUGCAAUACCUACCUAGGGCUAACCCCUGAAAAAACUAUACAUAAUCUCCAUGAAGGACAUAAAAAUGGAUGAAGUAACAUGUUUUCAUCUUUUGAAACUUAUAAAUUGUUUUAUUGGGGGCUAGUAUUUAUGUCUGUUGCAAUUGAAGAAUAUUAAAAUAUUAGUCUAUAGUACAUAUAUAUAUAUAUAUAUAUAUAUAUAUAUAUAGAUAUUAUGAGAAACAACAGUAUAGUAUAUUAAGGUAAGUAAAAGUAAAGUACAAUAGAAGGAUGACAAAUCGUCCAAAAACUACACAAAAAGAAAGUAGGAACCUCCAAAAUACUAGUAAAUCUAUACAACCAUGAGAUUCCACAAACCAUGUCCCAUGUGAGAAUAUACAAAAAAUAAUCUAUCCUUGCUAGACUAUAGUGAAAUUUGUGGACCCAGUUUGCAUGGAAUUGCUUAGGAGAUAUGAUCUACAUAUAUGAGAAGAAAUUACAAUAUUUGUAUGAGUUGACUGGAAACUCAGAAUUAUGACGUCUACAUGCAUCGUAUAUUAUUGUAUUGUGUACACUAUAUGAUGUGCUUUUGUACCCAAAUCCAAUAGAACAAAGUCUACUCAGUGAGAUUCUUUACACAAUAGGUAGCAUCAGUUUUUUUUUUUGGGAAAAUAGAUAUGGAUUCUGAUUACUUUUGCUGGCGCAUUAUGUAUCAUAUUAUUAUCAAAUUUGUCAGAUUUUGAGAAACAUUAAAAAUUGUUUGGAACAUUUGAACAGCAUGUAUCUAAACGCAAUGAUAAUCUAGAAUAUUGAUGAAUAUAAACUAUAUAAUAAAUUGCACCCAACAUGCCACUUCAGGAGAGUACAGUGCAGAACAUGAAGUGAAAUUUGCUAAAAUGCUGCAGUAAACAUGUAUAUCUUCAUUUGAAAUAAUUUUUUUGGUAAGUCAUCUAGGAUGUUUUUUUGUUAACUUAGUUGAAAUAUAUUUGUAUGUGCAUUACCUUUCCUUUUUCAGCAAUUAUGAUGUGGUAUUUCAAUAUAUAAGACAAAGAAUACAAAAAGAUAAGGAAGCAGCCAUGUUUUGAUAUAGGGGUAUAAAUUUCUAAUUAAAAAUUAAUAUCCAAUCACAUGUAACGCAGUACUGUAUGAGUUCUGUAUAAUUGUUCUAAUGACAAAAGCUAUAAUGAGAUUAAGUUAAAAACUAUAAUAAAUCAAUGUAUAUGCCAGAUCAGCUAGAGCUUUAUCAUAUAUCUUAAUUCUUGAAUGGUAACCUUGUCCACCUGUUUGAUGGCAGAAAGGAGACUGUUUUUCAUUUUUUAGUAAAAUAAAAUGAAAACCGCAGAAUACUUUUGCAAAUGAGAAAUGUAAACAACCCAGAAAAUAUAUGCUGUAACAUGUUUCCAAAAGCUAUUACUGAAAUAUUUCUUGAAAAUGGUUCAUUUUAAGAAAUGUUGAAGUGUUGUUUCUUAGUGUUUUUAAAAAUCCAAGCAUUCCAACAAAAGUGUUUGGUGUUUUCAUUUCUAAAAAUAAAAACAUAUAUGAAAAACCAUUUCUAUUUUGAAACCAAAAGAGGUCCUAUGUUUCCUAAAAAGGGGAAUGGUUUUUUUUUUUUUUUUUUCUAAAUUAAAGUGCAAGUAUAUGAUUUAAAGAAAAAUAAAGAAAUGCGAGUUUUAUGAGAUAUGCUUUGUAUUAUGUUAUAUCCCCUGAAAUUUACUCUUAUUAUGUUGCUUUUUAGAUGUUUUCAUUUUCUUUGGAUGGCUUUAUUAUGAAAUAUUUUUGCAUCUCAUUAUAGAUUUCAUUAUACAAACAACUGUAUACUACUUGUGACAUUAACUUGUUUUCAUUAGGUUCAAGUGCAUAGAUUUGGAUGGAAAUGGAGUUCUGACAAGGAAUGAAAUGCAAUUCUUUUAUGAGGAGCAGUUGCAUCGAAUGGAAUGCAUGGCCCAAGAGCCUGUGCUCUUUGAGGAUAUAUUGUGUCAGAUAGUUGAUAUGAUUGGUCCAGAGGUAGACCCUCUUGUUGUUUCAUUUAUUGUAAUAGAUUAGUGACAUUUUCCCUUACUGUAUUUUAUGUUGUGUUUGGAAGCAAGCCAAGAAAAAACGACUUCUAAUGGCCAUGAAUAUUUUCCUUAAAAAUAUAAUAUUCUAAUAAUUUGAAGAAACGUAACUCGACCAGAGUCUAUAUAGGAUAAAUGCCCUAUAUUCAGGGAUCCUUUUGGAUGGUGAAAAAUUAGUUCUCUUUCAACCUCUGAGGUGUGCCUUAUUGAAGUUGCCCUUCACACAUGAUCCACACCCUGCCUGAACAUUCAUCCUCACCCCACUCCCUCCCCAUGCACUGUGAAAAAAGAAAAAGAAAACAAAAGAAAAGGAAAAGAAAGUUGAAUAAAGGAAAUUGUACAUUGGACCAGUCUUUCGGUCAUCUGGCAGAUUGCAUUGGCUUUACAAAGCAAUUUUCCUUGGAUGUAACUCAGAAUGACAAUUAGCCAGAGAUGCUUUUACUCUGUAUGACACUCUUUCUUUGUGGCAGAACGAGAGCUAUAUCACGCUGCGUGACUUGAAAGGUUGUAAACUUUCUGGAAGUGUCUUCAAUAUCCUUUUCAACCUUAAUAAGUUUAUGGCUUUUGAAACUCGUGAUCCAUUUCUCAUUCGUCAGGUAAAUCAAAUAGUUUACUCUUGUUAGUUUUUAUGUAUUGUUUCAUCAUGCAUAACAACUCCCUGAUGCUUUUAUGAUAUGACCAGGAGCGUGAAAAUCCAACAUUGACCGAGUGGGAUCGCUUUGCACAUAGGGAAUAUAUAAGGCUCUCGAUGGAAGAAGAUGUUGAAGAAGCCUCAAAUGGAAGUGCAGAAGUUUGGGACGAAUCACUAGAGGCUCCCUUCUAAUUUUAGUUGGUAAGCUACUUUAAUUUAGGUGAUGAUGGUUCUGAUGGCAGUGUUACUUUCAUUUUUUCUAUGCAGCAAUAUUUAAUUGAAUAAUAUUUUUUAAAUAUCAAAAUGCAUGGUCUCCUAUUAGUUAGGGAAAUUCUGGAGUAGUAAUAUUAGAACUCUGUAUGUGCUGUCCUUGGGGCUGCGGGUAGAGGAUUGUGAUCAACAAGAUUAAUAUGGUAAGAAGAUUGCGCCGUUUGAUUUUCCUUAGUUCUGUUGGAUGGUGCAAAUUUUUUGGGGCAAGCAGAGUCAAAUGUGUUCAAAUUAGAAACUUCAAAUCAUGUUGUUCUAAUAUUAAAUCGUAGUUGGUUUUAAGCCUUAGUUCAAUACUUUGACUUCAUUGCAGGUGCUGGGAAAAAAAGAAAAAAAAAAGAAAAAAAAGUCCCAAAUUCUUCUUCCAAACUGGCUGCCAGACAAUGAAACAGUCAUACCACAAGGUUAGACCUUGAGCUGAAACCUAUACGUUCAUCAGAGAAAUCCUGAGUUUGGCUAUGUGGAAUAGAUGUUUGAUGGUAGAAAGAAUAAUCAGGCCUAUGUGUGGAUGAAUUGAGAGAGGUGGCUCCAUAUCCAAGUAUCAAAAAUCUGCAAAAGGGUGCUGUUUCUGAGAGCUGCUGAUUAAUCAAAAUCAGGUAAAAGUAGUUCAGAACAUUUUUGUUCUAUUUGUAAGAUAUCAUUUAUGUCUUGAGUUUUUCUUUUUCUUUUUCUUUUGUUCCUUGAAAAAUUAGUGGUUGUUUUUUGGAUACUUUCGUAUGUAUGGCAAUGUUUUGUAUUCUGGUGAAACUGAGUUGGAUCAUGCUCAUUUAUCAAUUUAUUGCUUGGUUCUUUUUUCUAUAUUAUUGAAUUGACGUUGUUAGUGAAUGAGUGUACAUGUUUGUUUUCCUGAAAUUUUGAAUAUAUAUUGGAGUAUCCAUAUCUGGAGUCAAAACUAUUAUCCAAGCAACUUUUGAAGGUCACAAAAAACUAUCUAAACUUCUGACAUGGAUCCCUUCCUAUUGGUAAAGAGCAAGUGGCUUUUCUGGAGAUCAUGUAAUUGCUUCACAAGCAAAACAAACCUGUUCAAAGGUUAAAGUUUUGUGUUAAAUGGUAUUGAUAACAUGUUUUGGUAGUCGUUUGAAAAGGUUUAUAUUCAUUAAAAUAGAGAAAAUUUAGUUCUGGUGCAGGUUUUUUAGGGGUCUACUGUCUGGUGAUUGGGGCAGAAUGUAGAGGCUUUGGACAAGAGUCAGGUGUAACUAGAGGUUUAUGGGAGGAUUUAUGUUGUAUUUCCUAUGAUUUUCAAAAUGCCUUGGUCCCUUGCUUUAGGACCUCUUCAAUAGUGAGGGGCUUUUCAGAUUUCAUACCAGAUUUCAGUUCGGGGGAGGGUCCUUUACUUGGUGUGCUGUUCAAGAUGUGCUUUUCAUAUCUCAUGUAUAUCAUUCUCUGGUUGUUCUCAUAUUGGGAGGGGUAUUUUCCAAAUGGGUCUAGUAUAAUCCUUUCCAGGCUAGUUUCUGAUCCUCACAAUGCUUCUGGUGAAGGAAGAUCUUGAUGUGGUCAUUUGCUAAUGAGGCUGUCGAGUCUUAGAUUUAAAAGUUAUGGACGGAGUGUUGCAUGUGUGUUGGAUAUUGGGAAGGCCUAUGAUUGCAUUAACUAGGAUUUCUUGCUCUUAGAUGCAGGGAGCAAGGGUUUUGAGCAGAAGUGGAUGGAGUGGAUUCAGUUUUGUAUCUUUGCCCUUAGGUUCUCUAUGUUGGUUAUAAUGGGUUUCCAAUGGGUUAUUCCCCAAUGCCCAUGGUUGGAAGGUACUCUCCCGUACUUGUUAGUGUUAGUGAUGGGGUCUUGAGCUGUUUUAUUGAUAUUCAUAGAGAGCUGUAUUAGGGGAUUCCUGGUGGUGAGUGGCGGUGGGGAAGGGGUAUGAUCCUGCACUUCACUUGUUAUUUGUCAAUGAUUCCCUUUGUUUAAGGAGGAAGUGUGCAAAUUAAUUGGGUUGUUUGUGAGGGUGAUUCUCUUCUGCUUUGAGUCAAUCAUGAGGCUUAAAAUCAAUCUUUGUAGGAGUGAAAUAUCUGGGUGGGGAAAGCUGUGUCUACCUAUUUUGGUUACCAUUGGGUGCUCCUUUAGUUCUGCAUCUAUUUGAGACUCAAAAGGAGGAAAUAUUUAGAAGGCUGGCUUAUACUUGGAAGAGGCAAUAUGCUAGGUGUUGUUCCAAAAUGUGAAAGAGAAUUUAGUUGAAUAUCUAGUUGACUAUGGUCAUGGCAGCAGCCCACGACAGGCCAUGGCUGCCAACCUCUGCUCGUUCUGUUUUCAAAUUCUCUCAUAGUUGAGGAAAAAAAAAAUGAUGGUGAACAACAAGAAAGAAAUGAAGAGGAAAGGGAAUGUGAUCCGUGUCGAAUCAUGGUCGGACCCCACUUUUUAUGUGUGUGUGUGUAUAUAUAUAUAUGCAUAUCAAAGACAGGGGAAGAAGGGAAGGGAAAAGGGUGGACCAGGGUAGGGUCGGGUUUAUUGGGUGGGUGGGAAGGUGGGAAGAGGAAGAAGAUUGUGGCAGGUAUGGAGAGAGAUAAGGCAAAGUUGAGGGAAAGUGAAAAAUAGGUGGAUUCCUGGUCUGUAUGUAACUUGUGGCAACAAACUUCACAAUUUUGGCCCUGGAUCUUGUGAGGGUUGGUAAGGAUGAAACAAACAACUUUUGGAUGUCCAGAAAGUUUAAGAGAGAAAAUGGUAAGGGAUAAAAGAUUUAAAGAAAAAUAUGAAAAAAAAUUACAAAAAUUUCUCCUAUUCUCAAAAAUUAACAUCUUAAAAUAUUUCCUUUUCCUUAAUAGCAUUGAGAAACCAGCUUUUGUGAUCGAAGAUGUUAAUAACUAAUUUAACCCCCUUCCAUAUCGUUAGGGUUCCAAAUCUUUUUUGAAGGAUUGAGCCUAAUCUUGAAUUUCCCUUUCCAUAGGUGUGUCAGCUUUGAUGAUCCACUGGAUAUGAAGUUUCCUAGAUUGCAAAAUAAAUAACAAGAUUUGCUUCAAAUUGGGGAAUGCAUCCUAAAAAUCAAAACAAAUAAUUCAAUUACAUUUUUCUGCUGCCAAUAAAAGAAAAAGAAAAAGUAUGAAACAAACAAAAUGAGGUGCCCAUCAUCCGUUCAAAAACUCAAAACAAGAUGUUUGGGAUUGGAUUUUCAAGGACGUAGAAAGAAAGAGUAGUAUGUGAGUUGUUGGGGGAAGCAAUUAGAACCAAGGAGACCAUUCAGAAUUGUUUUUUGGCAACCCCAACUUCCCUCCCUUUUUAGGUACCUUCAUUGCUAGAGAUUGUGGAUUAGGCUUUAUAACCUUGUCAUCCACCGUCUUAAAUAAACUCCAAGCUUCCUUCCAUUAAAUAUUCAACCAAAUUCUUCCAAAUAUUCAUAAAAUCAAUACCAUUUUUUCAAAUCAAGUCUCUUUCAUAUGUCAUCUCAAGUUUUUAAGGUUAUUUUUCUCUUUCAUAGAUCUUUGAAGUAACCAUUUUUCCUUCAUGAAUUCACUCUCCUCCUAAAAUAUCAAUGUUUAUGAUGCCUAGUAUGCCAUGUCCACCUUGUCAAAUAGCUUGGCAUCCAACACUUGUUCCAAUCAGUUACGCCGCUGAAAUGUUUUUGCCGACUCCACCCAUCCCCACUACCCUCCUCAUUUUUCUCUCCAUGAUUUCAUUAAAACUUGAGUCUCUAUAGCCUGAUCCCAUAUCUUGAGGGGGGCAGACUAGAAUAUGUGACAUGUUUUCUCACGUUUGUGAGCCUCUUGCCUUGUACUUUGCCUCCUUGCUUAACCACUUGGACACCACCCACUGAAACAGCUCUUGAGAGGGGCGAUCAAAGAUGGGUAUUGGAUUGAUUGAAUGAAAGAGAUGAAGAUGAAGAAGAUGAAAGGUUUGAGAUAUCAAAGUGGAAUGAGAUUCACCAAGCAGGAAUGGAUGAUAAAAGAUGCAAUGAGACGGACAGAAGGAAAACAAGGAAGUGGGGUUUUUCACCCAACCAACCGAGAGAGAGAAGGAAAGAUUGCUGGCAAUGGUGGAUGUAAGAAUGAAGAAGAUAAAUAGUAUGAUAAUGAAAAUGGUGGGGGCACCGCAAUCCAAGGGAAAAGGCCAAAAGGGUAAAGUAAUGGUGUCAUUUUUUUAUUUUUAAAAUAUUUUCCCAAGUCGUGCCAACUGCUGACCUUCUGUGAAAAUGCACCGACCAUUCACGCGCUAUUUGCAGCCGUGCAGAUUGCGUGUAGGCCCGGCGCACUUGCCGCCCCAAAAAGGAAACCCACUUCCCCUCUUUCAAAAAGGUUCAAAUUCCAACACGCUUAGGUGUUUACUCAUUUUCAUCUUUCUUUAAUAUUUAUUUUAUUUUUACCUUUUAUAAUUUGUUUAGAUUGUCAACUUUUUAGAUAAUAUUAAAACUAUAUAUAUAUAUAUAUAUAUAUUUUUUUUUUUGGGUUGGAUAAAAAUGAAUGUUAAUAUUUUAAAAUUUUAGCAAUGAAUUAUAAUAUUUUACAAAAUUCACACAAAUUUUUAUUUUGAAAUUAAUAUUAAAUUAUUUUAAAUAAACACAAAUGAAAUGAAUAAUAAUUCUUUAAAUGAAUAAUGUAAUGAUAAAUUUCUAAAAAAAAGUACAUUAAUAAUAAAAAUAAAUCAUAUAUUUAUUUCAUUAAAGAAGAAUUAUAACAUUUUAGUUAAAAUUAUAAAAUAUGGAUAUUCAUAUUUUAACAAAGUCAUGACCAAUAUUUUCUUCCUGAAAAAAAAAAUAUUUAAUACUAUUUUAUUUAAAAUUAAAAUAAUAAAAAUUAAAAUAAUUUAUUUCUUAAAUAUGCAAAUAAACUAAUUUUAUGAUUACAUUUACAUAAAUCCAAUUUUUGACAAAGUAUUAUAGACAGAUUUGUUCCAACGAUUUCUCGUAAUAAUUGGCAUAAUUUUUGGAAGGACUCGUUCAAAAUUUUACUAUAUUAAGUCUCCAUUGAUAGGGUGUCCUUCGUCUAAAAGAAAAAAUUUAGAAAAUUAUAGUUGUGUGCAGGAGAUAAAUUAAUUUUGAUCCAGAAAAUUUUAGUAUUAAUUAAUUUAAUUUUUAAAUUUUAGAUUAGUUUCAAAUAUUAUAGACUCGUUCACUAAUCCAAUGCAUUAAACUUUGAUGAUUUGGAGUCCCAUUACAUAGUUUAAAAAUUUUGAGUAGGUUAGCGAAUAUAAGGGAAUUACAAUUCUUUGCUUUGAACAUGAGGUGUUUCAUGCUUUAACUUGAGUAAUGCAUGCAGGAACGAAGGGCAAUGUACACUUACGUUUGUUUACUUGCACCUGACACCCAACUUGGGACUAAUUUCCUUAAAUUUUCUCAAUUGAGUAAAUAAAUUUUAAAUCAAACAAGACUUAAAUGGAUUACAUUCAUUAAGAAGUUAAUUAUUUUUUAAAAAUAGUUUGAAAAGAAUUCAAAGAAAUUAAUAUCAUAAUUUCUCGGACCAAAACAGGGUACAAAAUGACCAUGUUGGUUUUUCCUUCCUAGAUAAUUAUGCUUUUAUGAUUUUUUUUUUUUUUUUCACUAGGCAAACAUACUCAAAAUCAAUUGAGACUUUAAUGUGUUGGAUUCUUUAAUGAGUUUAGCAAUUCUGAAAAUUAAUUUGGAACUUAUAUGUUGGAUUCUUUAAAAAUAAUGUGGAUGUAGACCCUUGUUUUGGGUCCUCAAGGUUGAGAUAUUUUAGGCCACCUUUAUUUUUUACCACCUUUGUAGAGGUUUUUAGAGCUCCUUUUGGGAGGCAUGUUAGAGAGCAUGUUUACUUUGCUCACCUUGACUUGUAUAUUCUUAGUGUUGCUUAUCUCGUUCAUCUUGAUAUGUUGACUCUCUUUGUUGUAUAUUAUCAUGAUUAUUUUUUAGCAUGCUAUUCAUCUUGCUUAUCUCAUUUCCUGCUUAGAUUGUUUGUAGAUUUGGAUGAUAUAUACCUGCUUUAUAUGAUUGCUCUUCUUCUACAUGAUGCAUGUGUUGCUUGUUUAUGUGGGACACACUUAUCCCCUUAUCUCCAAUUCCGUAAACUCGAUCGACCUUGUUUCCCUUGAUCUCAUAUUUGAUACAAGACUUGUUGAUUUUUUUUCUUUGACCAAGCUAAUGAUUAGUAGUAGGGUCUAGCAAUGGGUUAUAUUUAUGUUUGGGAGCAUUCUGGAGAAGGCUAACACAUUGAUGUUGAUUAGAGUCCGACUUUUGAAAUUUGGUAUGGCCUAGAGCUAGAUUCUAGGAUAUUUGUGUGACUAGUAUGUUUUUUUCUACUUAGUUUGAUAGGAUUUUCAGAUGUAACAACACCAUUCACUGUGUACCUUAGAUCACUACUGAGCGCAAAGAGAUGUGAGGGCCUUCACCAUAGGAAACCCCCUAGGAUUCAAGGUAGUGUAUGUGCAUAAGUAAUGACCACCUUGCAUGAAAACGCCUUGUCUUUUCAGAGGCGUGUAGGAGGUUAUGUAUCACCUGAAGAUGUGAUCUCUUUUGCUAGGGGCCCUUUAAGUCUAUCUUUUUCCUUUUAGAGCCACCUUGACCUUAUAGGUUGAGCCUUAGAUCCCUCAAUUAAGAUUCCUACCUCAGACAUGGGUACAUCUGAUAGCUUUUCGAGCCACUUUAGUCACUGCCUGGACCUAUUACUCCUUCCUUUGGUCUCUAGUUGAGAGUACUCAAAGAUUAGUACAAGUUUGAGUAUAUGUUGAAUCACCAUUUGCCUUAUUACGUCAGAUUCUUUCUUCUGCUCAUUGAGUUUAGUGUGCUUCCUUUCUAGGGCUUUAAUCAGUCUUCCUUGCUCAAGUUGGCACAUUUUUUCAGUUUAUUGUCACUUUUUGUUUGGUGCUUUGGAAUACGCUCAUUAAUCUCACUCACAUUUUUACAUCUUACAUUUAUCAUGGGUCUGAUACCCCAUUCUUUGUUUGAUCCUUGAUUUAAUUUUCAAACCCAAUGCUCACAUUUUCAUUAAAGAAUGAUGAAAGGCAUGUUUUCACAUUCAUACCCUUUUGAGAAAUUUGCCUUGAUCACCUUAUCAUUUUCCUUUAUGGAGCUUGGGUUGAAAGUUGAGUCAAGGAUACUUGGAUACAA
rnacentral:lncRNA from 1 species